GUCUUUUUUGGUUUUGUUUGUUGAUGUAUCAAGGAUUUGUUGUGGGGUUUGGAUUCUUGGUGUUUGAUUGCUGUUUUUAUGGUAAAAAGGUGGAGUCUUUUGGUGGUGUAGUUGGUGAAUCAAAGGGUUAAUAGAAAUUGGAUUCAUAGUUCUUUUUCUGGUAUAAAGUUGGAAUCUUUUUGGUGGUGUAGUUAAUGAAUCAAAGGGUUUAUAGAAAUUGGAUUCUUGGUGUUUGAUACUUGAUAGUUGUUCUUUUUUCUGAAGUUGUAAUCUUUUGGAGUUGUAGUUACUGCAUCAAGUGUUUAUGGGUUGUUGGUUGUUCUUUAUGUAGUUGAAUUUUGGAAUGGAAAUUUGGAAUUGUAUUUGAGUGGCUGUUCUACUGAAUUGGGUUGUUUUGACUUUAGGAUUCCAUGGUUAUGGGGAAAAGAUUGAUUUUUGCAAAGGCUGAUCUCUGGGGUUUGUAGUUUUGCAACAGCAGGGGAAGGUUUUCGGUUGGGUUUUCGUUGAUUGAUUAUGGGUGGUGUUUGUGGAAAACCUUCCUCGCCCGUGCAGAAUAGGCGGGAUAGACAGAAGAGGAGUGAAUUUACUAAAGGGACAACUGUGGCAUCACGCCCACUACGAGCUGUUUCUUCAAAGAGAGAGGAAAGUUUCAGGGUGAAAGACAAGUUGGUAACUGGUGAUGUGAAGCUUGGUUUGGUAGAUAGGAAGUCUAAUGGAUCAAGAAAGGUCCGGGAUGAUCAUUAUGAGCAGAUAAAGGAAAAGCUUGGACUCAUUGUGAAUGGUUGUCCUGUAAACGGAGUCGUCCCAAAAGCCUUGGAAGGGGAGCUGAUUGCUGCAGGAUGGCCUUCUUGGCUAAGUUCAGUGGCUGGUGAAGCUAUUAAUGGAUGGCUUCCUCGCAAGGUUGAUACUUUCGAGAAAUUAGACAAGAUUGGCCAAGGGACUUACAGUAGUGUAUACAAGGCUCGUGACCUGAUUAACAAUAAACUAGUUGCACUCAAAAGAGUGCGGUUUGAUAAUAUGGAUAUUGAAAGUGUCAAAUUUAUGGCAAGG
rnacentral:misc_RNA from 1 species